rnacentral:sRNA from 1 species
GCCAGGCAUAGUGUUGCAUGCCUGUAAUCCCAGCAGUUUGGGAGGCAGAAGCAGGAGGAUUUUGAGUUCAAAGCCUUCCUCAGCAACUUAGUGAGGCCCUAAGCAACUCAGUGAUAUCCUGUCUCUA